CUACGGACUUAAUUGGAUUGAGCCUUGGUAUGGAAACUUACUAAGUGAUCACUUUCAAAUUCAGAGAAACCCUGGAAUGAACAAAAAUGGGCAAUCCUGAGCCAAAUCCUAUUUUCUGAAAACAAAUAAAGGUUCAGAAAAAAAGGAUAGGUGCAGAGACUCAAUGGAAGCUAUUCUAACAAAUGGAGUUAAAUGUGUUGGUAGAGGAAUCUUUACAUCGAAACUUCAGAAAGAAAAAGAAUGAAGUGAAGGAUAAACGUAUAUACAUACGUAUUGAAUACUAUAUCAAAUGAUUAAUAACGACCCGAAUCCCUAAUCAAAUCAUUCACUCCAUAGUCUGAUAGAUCUUUUGAAGAACUGAUUAAUAGGACGUGAAUAACGAUAGAGUCUCGUUCUACAUGUCAAUACUGG
rnacentral:ncRNA from 1 species